AGAUUGAACGCUGGCGGCAGGCCUAACACAUGCAAGUCGAGCGGUAGAGAGGUGCUUGCAUCUCUUGAGAGCGGCGGACGGGUGAGUAAUGCCUAGGAAUCUGCCUAGUGGUGGGGGAUAACGUUCGGAAACGGACGCUAAUACCGCAUACGUCCUACGGGAGAAAGCGGGGGACCUUCGGGCCUCGCGCCAUUAGAUGAGCCUAGGUCGGAUUAGCUAGUUGGUGAGGUAAUGGCUCACCAAGGCGACGAUCCGUAACUGGUCUGAGAGGAUGAUCAGUCACACUGGAACUGAGACACGGUCCAGACUCCUACGGGAGGCAGCAGUGGGGGAAUAUUGGACAAUGGGGCGAAAGCCUGAUCCAGCAAUGCCGCGUGAGUGAUGAAGGCCUUAGGGUUGUAAAGCUCUUUACCCGAGAUGA
rnacentral:rRNA from 1 species